rnacentral:lncRNA from 1 species
UCGCAGUCCACGAGCUGCUGCUCCGACAGGGACAGCAGCUUCCCCGUCCGGAUCUUGGUGAUCCCUUCCACUGCGGCCACCGUCGCGAAGGCCCAGCACGACCCACACGAGCCCUGGUUCUUUACCGGCGUCACGGCGCCUUCCUUGCGCCAGUCCACGCUCGCCGGCGCGGCGGAAAGGUUCGUGUACGCCGCCGCGUGCCCGGUGGCAUCGACCGACCCGGCGCGCGUCGUGAUCAGCGCCAUGUACCCCUCGUCUUCUUCAGCCAGCAGCUGCGUCUGCGGGGGCACCGUGUACAGGGCCAUGAACUCGUCGUUGGUGAGGUCGGUGUACUCCGUCUCGCCGAGCUCGUACGUGAGGCCGGCCGCCUGGGCGACGGCGUUGGUGCUCUCGAUGUAGCGCACAUUGCCGGCGUAGACCUGGAAGCGGUGGCGCUCCUCCUCGGCGGUUGCGUACGACUUGCCGUACUCCGCCUUCCACUGCUGGAACCUUGCCAGCAUCAGACCAUCAUCGUUGUCGUCGUCGGCGAGGCUGUUGGCCGUUGCUGACAAGCAGCCGUUGAGGGAGACGGCCACGAGGAGGAGUACGCAUGGAAGCAGGAAGCGUUUGGCGGAGGAGGCCGCCAUGGAUGAGCUAGCUCAACGCGUGGAGAAUGUAUGCAGAUGUUUCAAUGAGAGGAGAGAGGGCGCGUUGAUCGAAAUGGAUGGAUGGAUGGAUGCUUAAAUAGAAGCAGUUGCUCCAAUACGGUCGUUGACAUUAUGCAGAUCAACGUGAUUCAAAUGUGGUGCUCGUAUCUUAAGGAGUUAAGGUACAUGUGAUUUGCAUGCAUAUUCGUCAUCUCGGUUGCAACUUGCAACUGAACCAAAGUAAUAAAUCAGUAGUAUGGGAUAAAGCACUGGACUCGAUCCUCAAAGUUUCUACCCCUGCCAUACUGUAAAUAUUCUGCAGGAUUCUUACCUAUAAACUAGCAAAGUUAUACAGUUACCUGAGAAGAACUUAUAUACACUAAGCAGAGAACUCACCUUCCAUGCGCCCUCUUUUAUCCCGGUUUAAAGUUGACCCGGGAUAAAAGUUUCACGAACCGGGACUAAAACUCGAUCACUGGCGGGGGCUCACCAACCGGGACCUUUUAUCCCAGUUGCAAAGGGUAGUGGAAAAAAAAGGCCCUGAGAGACCUUUUAUCCCGGAUAAAAGAUCCCCUUUUAUGCCGGUUGGUAUUACAAACUGAGAUAAACGGUGUAAUACCAUCCUGGAUAAAAGGCGGUCUUUUAUCCCGGUUGGUAUUUUCAACCGGGGUAAAAGGGUCCCCCACGGAUGGCUAAAAAGAACUAAAUCCCUCGAAAUCCCUCGAACCCUUUUAUCCCGGUUUGUAAUACCAACCGGGAUAAAAGGGGAUAUUUUAUCCCGGUUGGUGUUUCCAACCGGGAUAAAAGGGUCCCCACGAGUUAAUACAAAAGGAUUGCAUCCUCUAUAUAGUUAGAUGUGUUGUGUAGGUGGGAUGGCAAGGAGGCUACACGUAAGGCUUGAGGUCGUGUGUUCGAAUCCCGCGCAUGCGCAUAUUUGGUGUGAAAAAUCGUGUGACUUGUGACAUGCGACGUGUGCGUGGAGGGGGGCUCCUAGGGAUCCCCUGGGAUUUCUUUUUUUUUUUGGGCUGCGCCUGGUGUGGCGAUCCUUUUUAUCCCGGUUGGUAUUACCAAGCGGGAUAAAAGGGGGUCUUUAGUCCCGGUUGAGUGACCCGGGACAAAAGACCCCCCUUUUGUCUCGAUUGGUUUAUCCCGGAUGGAUUUUCAGGAGAUUUGCUCCCUACUAACUGGGACUAAAGGCGAGUUUUCUACCAGUGAUAUAUAGAUGCGAUAAAUUUAAACCUUAAGAAAACCAAAGUUGACUUUCAUUUUCUAGAACAUAACAAGUUUAACUUGUUUUGAAAGAAUACAUGGAGCUUAUGUGGUUUGUUGGGGAUAAUGCAUGGAGAGGGAUGUUAUAUGUAUGUCUCCACGAAGAUACAUAUUUCUUCUUUCUCUUUUUAACUGUGUGUAUGACUAAAAAAAUACUACAUGACACUCAUUUAAUAAUGAUCAUGUGCAAUGUGCUCGAAGUGGACUAAGGGGAUCUUUAAGAAGAGCACAUAUAGGAUGGGCCGGAGUUAUCAUAUUCUAAUUCAUGUGAAUAAUGAUAUUUGAUGUCAAGUAAAUGUUCAAUUCACCCAAAAGUGAAUCAAGUUUGCAUUUGAAAAUACUAAAACUUUAACACGGAGGGAAUGCAUUAAUUAAAGAGAAAAUUAUAAAGACGGCCCCAUAUGUUAUUUAGGCUUUGAGAUUCCCAUAAGGCUAUUUUCAAUGGAGGAUUUAUAUUAAUGGGACGGUUUCCGACAUUGCAACAUCAUCUAAACUAAUUUUUGUUGAUGAGUGAAACCAUACAUUUGUUGAUUUUUAUUUAUGGUUUGCCUACGAAAAUCAGGCCAUAGACUUUAAUUGAGAUGCAUUUGAUUGAACAAAAUCAGUUGAAAUAAAACUAUGUAGCCCUCAACGAUAGUUUCAACAUGUUUCAUGUAUAGUCACGGAGACAGUACUGUACAUGCAGUUUCAUCCCCAUUCUAAAACCAAUUUCUUCUCCUUCCUCAUAGAUACUCUGCCAAGCACGUCACCGUACCCAUGAAACCCAUUUCUUCUCCUUCCUUAUAGAUACUCUGCCACGCACGUAGGGGUGGUAAUGGAUCAUGGCCCUCAUACCUCCUUCACAGUACAACUCAACCUUAUCUAUUUUUAGUUCAAAAUUAUAUAAUAUUAUGGCCCGGUCCUUGUUGAGUCCGAUUCUUAAAUUUGCUAUGCUAUAUUAUUAGAGAGCCCUUUACCACCCCUACACACACGUCAUCAUAUUUCUUCAUUUAAUGAAAAUGAAACCCUGGCGAAGGAAGAGAGACGUGUUUCUCUCUACGCAAAACGUACAAUAACGUGGAACACGUAGAUCAGCUCCUGUCCUGAAGCGGCCAGCUAGCGAUGAUGACAACGUACGUGGUCCGCCGUGUCGCGGGCCAACACACGACCAGAGACGGUGAUGACAAUUGUCCGUCUUGACGGUUGGCAAUGCAAUUAGCUACCAGACAGAUGCCAAACGUGCAUCUCGUUGAGGUAAACAAAACGCACAAGCUACCCGAGACAGCUAGCAACUAGUACACGCACUCAUCUAGGCAGUGGUGAUACGUACUACUUGGAAUGAGAAGGCUAGAAUAAGAGGCAUGCAUGCAUGCACAUGAUGGACCUAUCAUAAUAAGAUGCAUAUGCAUGCAUGCACCAAUCAACAAGCAAGCAAACAUAUGGAGAAAACCAAAACAAGUUGAGCAUGCUUGUUAUUAGUCGACGUGUGGACCAGAUAAGCGUGUUUCUCGUUGGGCUCGCAAGCUACCAGAACCGGAGACGUGGCAGCUGGUUUAAUUUGGCACGUAGGUGAGAACGGGUGGAACGAGGUACGCCAAGCGAAAAAAGUAUACCUAGGCACGUAAAUAUACAACGUUUAGAACAAGCUACUAUCUAAAUUGGCUUGCGAUUUCCUAGAUCACCAUUGAUUUCCUAGAUCAAUUGGCUUGCCUAAACAAAUUUUUUUUAGAUUAAGGAACAUUGUCCGGCCUCGAUCAUCCUCAAUUGGAUGUCUACAGCCACCAACUUACAACCUGGACACAAAACAUGCAGCUCUCAGGCUGCUCCUAAAACUUCUAGUGCCAAAAUACAGUUUAGACAAGACUAAACAAGGUAGGAUCGAACUAAAACAGACCAAGCUCCUAGGUCUAGAGUCUGGUUCCAAAACAAAGUUCAGACAAGACUAAACAAGAUCUCUGAUACUUCUUAGGACCGAACUAAAAUAGACCAAGGUCCCAGGUCUAGAGAUAGCUUCCAGGUAAACUGAAGAAAGAUCCACACCAUCAGCACAUAAACCUUUCAAGAUCUGCCCUGACGCCAGACAGCCUAAGACAUCAAUCUUCUCCUAAAGUUCCAUCCAUAUUUAUGGAAGAAAUCCAAAGCAGUAAUUUCAAGUCUGCUACAGUUCUUCUUCAAAUCAAUUUUCUCUUCCUCCUUAGAUAGCAUCGCCCAUGCCCUUGCCCAAUAAGUCCCUUUGAACAUUACCUGCAAAAAGGAGUUAGUGGUAUUUCCUUUGAACAGCACAUCAUUUCGAUUCAACCAAAUAGCCCAGCAUAGUGCAACAGCUCCUACAAUCAUCUGGUUUCUAUAUUUCCAGGGAUAACCUCUAGCCCAAGAACCCAGCAUAUUAGGACCACUAGCAGGCGGUUGAAUUCCAGAUGAAAAGAAAACUGUAUUCCAAAUGCAUCUUGCUAAAUGGCAAUCAAAGAAUAGGUGUUGCACUGUCUCUUCAUCGUUGCAAAAACAACACUUGGUACUACCUUGCCAUCUUCUCUUGGCAAGAUUGUCCUUUGUUAGGAUCACUCCCUUCUUCAAAUACCAUAAAAAUACUUUGAUCUUUAAAGGUAUUUUUAACUUCCAUUAUGCACACAAGGAGGGAGUUCCUUCAGCUUGCAUUAUCUCUCUGUACAUGGAUUUUACUGAGAAUUCUUUGCUUUUGUUUAAGCUCCAACAAAAUCUAUCUUCGUGAUCUUCCAAGCCAUGACCUUCUAUUUCAGCCACCAAUUUUAGCCAAUCAUUUAAUUUAUCUCCUGUAAGAGCUCUUCUGAAUGACACAUUCAGGGGAACCGCUCCAGAGACCUUGGCCACAGUGUCAUUUUUCCUCCUAGCUAUGUUAAACAAAGAUGGAAAUCUCUCCCUGAGAGCUUUCUUUCCAAUCCAUACAUCUUCCCAGAAUUUGGUUUUCUUUCCAUUAUGCACUUCAAACCUACCCAUUGCCAUGAAUUGAUCCUUUAUUUCCAUGAGUCCACCCCAAAACUGUGAAUCUCCCUUUUUCUUCUUCACUUGAGUAAGAGUUUUAUUACUUAGGUAUUUUCUUCUAAGUAAUUUUUGCCAUACCCCUUCCUCGUUCAAAAGUUUAAAUAGCCACUUGCUUAACAAGCAUCUAUUUUGCACUUCCAGGUUUGAUAUGCCCAAUCCUCCUACGCUCUUUGGUACACAGAAAAUACUCCAUUUGGCCAAUCUGUAUUUCUUUUUGUGUUCAUCACAUUGCCAAAAGAAUCUAGAUCUGUAGUAGUCCAGUCUUUUGAGAACACCUUUAGGUAUUCUAAAGAAAGACAUCAUAAACAUUGGUAAACUAGAAAGGACAGAGUUUAUUAGUACCAGCUUUCCUCCAACUGACAAUAAUUUACUCUUCCAGCUUGCUAGUUUUUUCUGAAAUCUCUCUUCAACCAAUUUCCAAUCUUUAUUGGUAAGUCUACGAUGGUACAUAGGAAUUCCAAGAUAUUUAAAAGGUAUAAUUCCUUCCUUGCACCCAAAGAUCUCCACAUAUUCUUUGACUAUAUUUUUUUGCCUCCCCAAAACAGUACAAUUCACUCUUAUGGAAGUUGAUUUUGAGGCCUGAGAGUUUUUCAAAUGUACUUAGUACUAACUUCAGAUUUUUAGCCUGUUCUAUAUCAUUUUCCAUAAAAAGGAUUGUGUCAUCUACAUAUUGGAGGAUAGAUAAUCCUCCAUCUACCAGAUGGGGUACUAGACCCUUAAUUUGCGCUUUCUCCUUGGUUCUGGUUAUUAGAACUGCUAGCAUGUCAGCCACCACAUUAAACAACACUGGGGAUAGGGGGUCUCCUUGUCUUAGCCCUUGUUUUGUUUGAAAGAAAUGUCCAAUGUCAUCAUUAACUUUGACCUCAACACUUCCCCCACUAACUAUGUUUUAAAUCCAUUUACACCAUGUAGGAGAGAAACCCUUCAUUUUUAGAGCCUGUUGUAAGAAAGUCCAGUUAACCUUAUCAUAGGCUUUUUCAAAGUCCAAUUUGAGAAUUAUUCCAUCCUAUUUUUUCCUACACAACUCAUGUAUUGUCUCAUGCAGUAUUACCACCCCUUCCAUAAUGUAUCUUCCAGGUAGGAAGGCAGUCUGAGAUGGUUUUAUCACUUUAUUAGCCACCAGGGUAAAUCUGUUGGCCAUCACCUUUGUGAAUAUUUUAAAGCUAACAUUUAACAUAAAGAUUGACCUAUAUUGCUGGAUCAUCUUAACCUCCUUAAGUUUAGGAAUUAAUGUUAUAAUUCCAAAAUUUAAACUAUACAGUGGUAACGUACCCUUAUGGAAAUCCUCAAACAUGGCCAUUAGGUCAUUCUUUAUGAGGCUCCAAGUUUCACACAGUGGUAACUCUAAGGGAGUCCUUGAAUGUUCAAGUUGCACACACAACUAAGUAGAACACUAACAAGUUUAAGGAACCCCAUGAUGUAAUUUUUUUUAUUGAUAAAAAUUAAACUUCUUGUUAACUUUGUCCUUCUUUUGGUUCUUUCCAGCGCAUUGUGUGGCCUUUGCCUAUGGUAAAACAGUGGAGAUAAUGGAGCGUGCAUAUAGUAUUAGAAAAGGACCGUCAAACCAAUAAAUCCGUAUGAUCUUGAGCAAAGGUUUGAUGAGAAGUUGUCUAAUGAUCAUUCUGAUGGCUCUCAUAGAUCGAAAGUUGGUAUACAUAAAGUCCUUCAUAUGGGUUUGAUUCUAAGAUCGGAAGGCAUUCAGAGACGCAGAGUAUGUCAGAGUAUGUCAUUUGUAUACAUUUGCAAUUAUUUUAUUGUGUCUCUUCACUUUAUGAAGCUAAUAUUUUUCUUUUGCAACAUUUGUUUUUUUAGUCUUAGGAUAGAUACAUCGCCGCUGAUGUUUCCACUAUCCCAUGAGAGGAUUUUGAGCAGAUUUGCCAAUGUUUAGCAGAGGGUAUUCUGCUGCUUGCAACAUCUUAGUGUGGAUGAUUUAGACAUGUAUGGUUGGGUUCCAUUUGUGUACUUGGCGGAAUUGGCAUGGGCUCGCUGUGCAUUUGUAUGGUCUAACGAAGCUUACUUGUCUUAUAGUUUAGGUGCUUAUUUGUAUUACAACAGGUAACUCAUAAAAUCUAUCCAGAAGGGAUGGUAAAAUCAUGGGUUCAGGAACGGUAAAAUUCAGGAUGUAACCGGUAAAAUUUAUCCUAAAGUGAUGGUAAAAUCUUGGGUUUGGAAACGGUAAAAUCCAGGAGGUAAUCGGUAAAAUCUGUCCUGAAAGGUUGGUAAAAUCCUGGGUUUGUGAACACUAAAAUCCAGGAUGUAACCGGUAAAACUUUGAAACUAUAUGGCCCAACCAGGAGACUAACACUUGUAAGAAACAAAACUUUAUUAUAACACAAUAAUAUUACACAGGAGUGCACAACACCCUCUCUUUAGCUAGCCCUUUACUUCUAUCAUACUCCACUCAUCUACCAUGCUCAUGGUUGAAUGGCAUGGUAAGGAAGGGGACCUCUAUUUAUGGGUCAAGGGAGUUCAUAGGAUGAUGACAUGUGUCCCCUUCUAGAGUUUUCACUAGACAAAUAUCUAUGUUCUACACUAUUCUAAUUUCUUCAUGGCAACAACAUCUAGUGCCUUCAUGGAAAAUAUCAUGGAUCAUGAGUUGUGGGGAAGGCUCUAGAAAUUUGUAUUGCUUUCCUUCAAUAUUCCAGAACCAACUCACAGUUAUAUUAAUGACGAAUUUCACACUUCAGUCAAUCUCUUAACAAGUAAUUUAGAUUGAGUUUCUAAUUUACUACAUAUACCAGGAUAAUUAAUGAUGUUAAUUAGUUGUUCCAAUCAAAAUAUAGUUCGCCUUAUAGUUUAUGCUUUGCCGUAUAUCACAAGGGGCUUAUUAAUAAUUACAGUAUGCAGAAAGUUCACUUGAACCUUUUUCUAAUCUCUUUUGUUACUUACCUUAAUCGAAAUACUCUCUCUGCUAGCUCAUCAGAAAUAACGUGACUAGUUUGCUCAUCAUUAUACUAGUGCAAGAUGUUCUAGAAUAUUUUGGUCAAAUGAAAAUUUGUAGCAAUAUAUAUAGUUAAUUUCAUAGUUUGGUUACUAAAACUAUUUCCACAGUACAAAAAUUUUAUAUAUAGUAUUCAAUGAACAAGUUUAUAUACAAACCUAUGGUCAAAAUUGCAUGUUAGUGAAUACCCGGAUAUUUGAAAUAUCAUACAUAAUUGAAUAGACAUUGUAUAACCACGUUAUGGACAUUGGUAUGUAAAAUCGUAGAGCCAUCUUGCGGCGUAGAGAAACAAAAUAGAGUUUUCCCUUCAUGCUUCCGCUACUUCUAAAAAUGGACAAGUUGUCAAUUAUAGGUGUAGUAUAAAGGAAUAUAUCUAUCAUUUUUAUUUCUUACGGAGAUGGAGGUGAGAGAGAUUUGAGAAUACUACCCUUAUUUGGUGGACUAUUGUCCACCACUAGUUCAAAAAUGACAAUAGUGAUACAAAAUGAAAUUUGACAACUUUUACAGCACAAAGGAUAGCUCACUCAAAUGUCAAAAAUCUACCGUUGGCAUGGUUUUGCACCAGAGGAUAGCUCACUCAAAUUUCAAAAAUCUACCGUUGGCAUGGUUUUGCACCAGCAUGUUGCACAAGCCACUUGUCCAUCUGUUCACCCCAAAUUUUGGUCUCAUUUAAAUAGUAUAGUCAUAGCAGAAAAAACCUUGGAUUUUUCUAUAGUUCGGAGCACGUUGCAUGAUGUAUAAAGAUGUAGAUGAAAAAACAACCAUGUUACCUUUUGUACCUCCUGGUACCUGAUUACCUAAAUAUGCAACUCUAUAUAGUGUGGAGGGAAUAUUUUAAUUUGUUUAGUUGCCAACUACUUUGUAGCCAUAGUAUAUACUUGUAACCACAUUCAAGUUAUCCAUAGCAGAAAUAAUUAUUUGCUUUCUAAUUUACUGAGAUACAAUGGAAGUGCAGAAAAGUUGUUUUAUCCUUCAUUUAAAUGUAGCAAAACAAAUCAAGAAUUACCAUACAAAGAAAAUAGUUGGAAAACAAUAUGUUCUUGUAUAUAUGUACAGCACGUGAUUGGCAUAGAUAAAAUUUCUAAGAACAACAACAACACACAAUGUUUAGCAGUGGCUUACGUAUAUAGGAACACAGAUAUAAAUUAUAAACAAUAAAUUAAAAGCACAAGCUUGCAAGAAGGGGAUGCUGUGCACUAGGCAGACAAAAAAAAUCACGAAACCAUCAAGCUUGUAAUAUAGAAUGACAAAACAUCAUUAAAAUAUCACUUGUACCGCCCACGUAUAUUGCACUUAUCACACAUGUACCACCUGAAAAUUGCAUAAAAUAAGACAAAUAAUUUAGAAGCAUACUCCUAAAAUUUCCACCAGAUCUACACAAAAUAAUGUAUAUAACAAAUGAUUACAACAAGAAAGGAAUUACCAAAAUAUUACAAAUAAUAUUAUUAUACCACAUGUAUAUUAACAUAAUUACAAAAGAAUUCUGGGGCAUCUCCCGUACAAUAAAAAGAAGCCUCAAAGUCACAUUUAUACGUUUUCUGUUCUAAGAAACCAACAUACGAUUUAAAUUAAACUACUAAUAAUUGAAUGCAUGUUUCAGUAUAAAUACCACUAUAAUUUAUCUAGAUGUUUUUUCCGUUAACAUUCUUGCUGCUAACUUGUGAAUCUGUAGUACUCAAAUAAACAGUUCAUGUUGAAGUUUGAUCCAAAAUAACAUUUAACACUCACCUAGAUUUUGCACCCCUCAAAAAAUUGCUUAGUUUGUGGGGAUGCAUAAGUGAUCAAUGUAUAUUCACAGAUAUAGAGCGAGCAAUCAAAAGAUCCAAGAUCUAGGUGUAUAACAUGCGUACUUAUUAUAAAAAAAAGAGAGCAAGGUCACAAUACAUGUACUAUAGGUUAUAAACUGAAAAACAAAACACAUAAGAUCUUGCAUGUGAAACUAUCAUCCUGUACCCAGUUUCAAUAAAACUAUCAACCAAAUCUGGACGAGCAGUUGUAUAAUCCAUUUAGACAGCAGCGCAUACAUGCUGAGAAGCAACCAAUCAGCGCAUACUGCCGGAUCUGGCUGUACCAACCAGUAGUUUUUAGAUGGAUUAGUAAUGCAAUGAAUUAAAUACAACAAUCUGAGUGUAUAUAUACCGAAUAGUAUUUUUGUCAUGUAUAGUAGCUCUAGGUUGAGCAAACAAAUAAAUUUUGAAUCGCAUUUCUAAGAGCAAAAAUCUUUUCCUAAUGAUUUUCGAAAGUUCAGCGAAUGAACAUGCACAAAACCUACACAACUGGCAUAGUUAGCUUCUUCACUGUAUACACCUUUUUGCAGUCGCACGGACCGGGGAGAGAGAUCGAUGCUUGGCAGACUCCAUCAGCAAGUUUCUCCGCUCUCGACCGGGAAAGGAACCCACAGAUGCAAGGUGAGCCGAUCAUGUAAAUACAAAAGGUCCAAUGAGAUCAGCCACAAGAACACCAGAUCUAGUGGGGAAGGAAGCUCAAAACUGAGAAUCUGACGAUCAUGUACUUAGUUAGUGUACUUAAUUAGUUACUGCUGCUAAACAACACAUGCAUGCAUGAAACAAAGAUGCUACAAGCUCACAUACGCAUGAAUUGUCUGAGGACAAACUAGAGCUCAAAUUACUUUGCAAUGAAUACAUUCGAAAGUAACAUUUCACAGGUAAGGAUUCGAUUCCGCACUGCAUUAUUCUGUUGGCAUGGGGUGCAUGAGGAGAGAGGACUCACCCGUAUUCAUGCUCUGGCGGAGGUUGACGGAGCGUCUCGCGACUUCGAGCACCCAGGCAUCGUGCCCGUCACCCAAGAGCGGCGGCGCGGGCGGCAGACAAGCAGCUGAACGCAAAGGAGAAAUUCGAGGCAGAGGAGGUGGUGACGGUGCUGCAGACAGUCGAGCGGGGAGAUGGAGGCGGUGGCGAGACAGGUGCCGGUAGGGGUGGUAGCCGCGGUGCGGGAGGCGGCGUCGGCGAGGCUGGCCGCGAAGGUGGCCCUCGAUCGUCGUGCUGCUGGAGGAGGGGAACAGGUAGAGCGCGGUGGAUGCCGGCACCGCUUUGUCAGGACGAGAUCCAUCGCCAUCUGGUACGGAUCUGGGCUCCCGUGUGCCCGGCGUCCUCCUGGCCGAGCGAAUCAAGCACGGGCCGAUCUGCCUCGCCCUCACCGUAAAGUUGUCUCGAGCCUGCCUUUGCCGCCGCCGUUGUUGAUGCAGCUGGGGGUCGCAGCACGCGGAUCCGUUGGUGACGGAGACCUUCUGAUACCGUCUCGGCGCCGCGCUGACCGAGCUACGACCCGCGAACACGAUCGACGGCCAUUGUCGCCGCUGCCGGUGUCCAGGUUCAACGCCGCCCAGGCUGCCGGUGUGCACCUGCAGCUUCCCGUCGCCGGUGUACUGUCGUUGUCGCCGCCAAAUGACCAACGCGGACCGCCACAGUUCAAACUUCAACGCCUCGCGAGGUGCCAAUGACGACGCCAGAUCUCUCGGCUUGCCGACGAGGUAUCUCGAUGUCGCCGCCCACAUCGGAUGGUAGGAGCGCCUCGCCUCCUUCCCGACACCGCUAGAUCUGGCGGUGGCGGCUGAACCACCGCUUCGCACUACCGGAAAAUGAAAUUUUGCCGAGUGUUUUUUUGCCGAGUGUUUUUUUGCCGAGUGCCUAUCUUAAAACACUCGGCAAACCUAUGCAAACCUCCACACUGCUGGAACUGGUCCAACUGCCAACUCCCGCGGCACAUAUUCAGAAAGCGGCAAUAUUGCUAACUGAUCCCUCCGUAUCAAAAUAAUUGUGUUGUUGACUUUUUUUCUACAACUUUGACCAUUCGUCUCAUUCAAAAAAUUAUGUAAGUAUCAUCUACUUUGUUCGUGACAUGCUUUACUAUUAUAGGUGUUUUAAAGAUGACUUAUCUCUUUAUAUGUUUACAAUAAAUUUUUGAAUAAGACGAAUAGUCAAAGUUGUAAGAAAAAUUCAACGUCGACAAAUAUUUCAAUAUGGAGGGUAGUGAUAUGGAGGGUAGUAGUUGCAAUAAACUUCCUUAUAACAGUUUCUGAAACUGUUCUUUGACGAUACAAAAUCUGACAAUUUAGCACACAUUUCCAAUCCAAACGCCACUUAAAUGCUCCUUACCACUGGAAUUGAAAAUACAGCUGAAAACUCUAGCUAAGACACAGAAUUGGACAGAAUAUAUAUAUAUAUAUAUAUAUAUAUAUAUAUAUAUAUAUAUAUAUAUAAGUGCUAGUAUAUAUUCAUAAAGUAGAAAAUCAUGUUAGUAAUGUAACCGAUAAAAAACAACUUAAUCUUACUUGAAGUAAAUCAGUAUUUCACGAGUACAGAGUACCUGACCUCUGUCCUAAGAAAGUGAACUUAGGGUGAGUUUGGUUGGUUGUAUCAUUUAAUUUAUGUAUAAAAUGGUUCAAAAUAUUAAUGAUCUUUUUAUUUAGUUGGGUGAAUUUUUAUUUGGCUGGGUGAAUUGUACCAACUCAUUCAGGAUGAAGCCAUCCCACUUAAUAUAUUAUUCUUGAACCAUAUGGUACAAGCAAAUUGGUUGAAUCCCACCAUCCAAAUCAUCCAUACAUGCAUUAUAUGUGCAUGCAACCAAAUACACCCUUAAUUUCUUCGUCUGUCGAAGCACAACACCGUACCUGACCUCUGUCCUGAGAAAGUGAACCACUUAAUUUCUGUGCUGACUGGUCCGUCAGUGGCCAUCUCAGCAUACGGUCCAGUCGUCUUCAACCUCCACCUCCACGACGACAGCCGCGGUCGCGGAUCCUCCUCGUCACAAGGAGAAGCCGCCGCCGACGUGAUCUAUGCUGUCCUGAGUAACGGCGUCGAAGUGCUUGCCAGGUCGUCGGAGGCGGGGACGACGGACACCACCUGCGAUCGACGGACAUCAUACGCAACGCCUUAUCAGCAUAAAAGUAGACUUUUGAUAUAUUCCAUAAAAAUGGAGCAUUUGAGAACGAGUAAAUCUGUAAUUGAUUUGCAUAUAUAUAUCGUCGGUUUCAAACAUGGUGAGUCUUAUUACACAUUACACAUAUGACUUCCGACAAACAAGUUUACUUAUAACAAGUAACGGGAAUAAAAAAAGUGAAAAUAAAAAGUUUGACUCCACCAUAUAGUAGGCUGGCUGAGAAGAAGGUAAACAUGCAUCAUGCAAGUCACUCCUUGAGUGGGAAGGAAGGGCGGAUGGCGAUGCCGCACAGUCCCUCCGGCUUGCCGGCGAUGUUCCUCUUCAUCUUGAUGAAGCCGUUUUCUCCCCACUUAGCCCCCCACGAGUUCUUGACAAUCCAAUACUCGUCCCCGCCCUGCUGGUCGUACCCGACGACGGUGACGGCGUGGUUGAGACUGAUCCCGCAGGGCCCGUUGUAGACGCCCUUCUUGUAGUGCUGGAAGUUGGUGCCGCCGGCCUCGAUGGACACGGCGACGGGCUGCAUCGCCACCGCGUUCUGCAGCGACACCUCGCUCUUGGGGGCCACGCGCCCGCAGCUGGAGAUGGUGGCGGCCGGUACCUAGCGGUCGCAGGUGCCCUCCUGGGCCUCGUAGGGGUAGUCCGCCUCCGUGGCGAUGCCGCCGUUGGAGGUGAUCCACUCCAUGGCGCGGAAGUGGAUGCCGCCCUUGCAGCCACUGUCCAGCUUGUCGCAGUCCACGAGCUGCUGCACCGACAGGGACAGCAGCUUCCCCGUCCGGAUCUUGGUGAUCCCUUCCAGGCUUCCACUGCGGCCACCGUCGCGAAGGCCCAGCACGACAAACACGAGCCCUGGUUCUUUACCGGCGUCACGGCGCCUUCCUCGCGCCAGUCCACGCUCGCCGGCGCGGCGGAAAAGUUCGUGUACGCCGCCGCGUGCCCGGUGGCAUCGACCGACCCGGCGCGCGUCGUGAUC